rnacentral:misc_RNA from 1 species
GUGAAGAACGUAGCGAAAUGCGAUAAGUAAUGUGAAUUGCAGAAUUCAGUGAAUCAUCGAAUCUUUGAACGCACAUUGCGCCCGUCAGUAUUCUGGCGGGCAUGCCUGUUCGAGCGUCAUUACGCCCCUCAAGUCCCCUGUGGACUUGGUGUUGGGGAUCGGCGAGGCUGGUUUUCCAGCACAGCCGUCCCUUAAAUUAAUUGGCGGUCUCGCCGUGGCCCUCCUCUGCGCAGUAGUAAAACACUCGCAACAGGAGCCCGGCGCGGUCCACUGCCGUAAAACCCCCCAACUUUUUAUAGUUGACCUCGAAUCAGGUAGGACUACCCGCUGAACUUAAGCAUAUCAAUAAGCGGAGGA